GAUGAACGCUAGCGGCGGGCUUAAUACAUGCAAGUCAAGGGGUAGCAAUACACCGGCGUACGGGUGCGUAACGCGUAUGGAACCUGCCCUUAUCUGGGGGAUAACUCGGGGAAACUCGAGCUAAUACCGCAUAAGAUAGUAGAGAGGCAUCUUUCAGCUAUUAAAGAUUUAUCGGAUAAGGAUGGCCAUGCGUAAGAUUAGAUAGUUGGCGAGGUAACGGCUCACCAAGUCUACGAUCUUUAGGGGCUCUGAGAGGAGAAUCCCCCACACUGGCACUGAGAUACGGGCCAGACUCCUACGGGAGGCAGCAGUAGGGAAUAGUUGGGCAAGUGGGCGGAAGCCUGACCCAGCCACGCCGCGUGCAGGAAGACGGCCCUCGUGGGUUGUAAACUGUCUUUAACUGGGAAGAAAGCAGCUCAUGCGU
rnacentral:rRNA from 1 species